rnacentral:lncRNA from 1 species
CUGAUCCUCUGGAUGUUGUCCCCUUAGAGUGCCAUCCUACCUGGAGACCGGGUGGUCAGAUGCUGCCCCAUGGGCUUCUGGGGGCACCAGAGAAAGGAGAGGGAGCAUGUGGGUCUCAUGAGUGGCAGGGCCAGGACCUUUCUGACCCCACUCCUCCUGCUGCUAGAGCCCAAGUUCGUCAAGGUCUUUUGGAUCCCAGAGAGCGAGAAUCCUGAUGAUGACAAGAUCUACUUCUUCUUCCGUGAGUCGGCAGUGGAGGCUUCGCCAUCACUGGGACGCCAGACUGUGUCCCGGGUUGGCCAGAUCUGUCGGGUGAGGAGUCCUUGGGCCACAUCCGAUGACUACAUCCCUGCCCUUUUGCCUGUCUGGGCCUCCCCCUCAUCCCUGCUGAUUGACCCUGCAGAAUGACGUGGGAGGCCAGCGAAGCCUUGUCAACAAGUGGACCACGUUCCUGAAGGCGCGUCUGGUGUGCUCAGUGCCAGGUGUCGAGGGUGACACACACUUCGACCACCUCCGUGAGUGCCAGGAGCAGAGGAUGGGGUUGGAGAGAGGGAGUGCAGGGGGCCAGACCCAGGAGCCGGGCUGCCCAGAGGGCUGUGUGCCCUCCCCCAACUAGGCUUCUUCCCCACAGAGGACAUGUUCCUGCUGUCCUUGAGGGACCGCUGGAGCCCACUGCUCUACGCUGUCUUCUCCACAUCAAGGUGAGGGGCAGAAGGUAGAGGGCAGGGCCCAAAGGGCUCUUCUGGGCCCCUCAGUCUGCUCAUGUCUUCGCCUGCAGCACCAUCUUCCAGGGCUCUGCAGUGUGUGUGUACAGCAUGAACGACGUGCGCCGGGCCUUCCUGGGGCCCUUUGCACACAAGGAAGGGCCCAUGCACCAGUGGGUGUCCUACCAGGGCCGUGUCCCCUACCCCCGGCCUGGCAUGGUGCGUAGCCCCAGGAGUCCCACCACAACCCACUUAAAGUCUCAGGGGUGGAAAACUUGGCCUGGGAUCUUCUUGGUGAAUGUGUUUUUUUCCUUCCGUUAUGGGUGGGAAAACAUCACCUUUGUCAGACAGGGCUCCUCAGAGGAAGGGCAUAUUUCCCCCUAAGAGUCCCAAGGGCAAGUCUGGGUCUUCUCUCUUCAGAUUCUCAGGGCAGACCUCUGUCCAUUAGCACUCCUCUAUACUCGGGUACCUGGAGGUCUCUUGUGGACCCACCAGGCCCUCGUACCCACAUCCCUGUCGUGCCUCCUCCCCACCUGCCCAGUGUCCCAGCAAGACCUUUGGCACCUUCAGUUCUACCAAGGACUUUCCUGAUGACGUCAUUCAAUUUGCCCGGAACCACCCCCUCAUGUACAAUUCGGUCCUGCCCAUGGGUGGUCGCCCUCUCUUCAUACAAGUGGAUGCCGGGUACACCUUCACCCAGAUCACUGCAGACCGUGUAGCAGCUGCUGACGGACACUACGACGUCCUCUUCAUUGGCACAGGUCAGUGUCCUGCCAUGACUACCCAUAAAACUCUGUCCAGACUCUCUUCCACCUGUCAGCAGAAGCUGCCCCUGCCCAGUCCCAUCUUCACAUCUUUGCCUGGGUUGUGCUCUCAUCUCCUUCUGGAUGCUGGUCUGAUUGUUCCAACCCACAUUCUUCACCUAUCCAACCAUGCUAAGGGUAAAGGCCUCAGAAGUGAGGAGAUCCCCAGCCCUAGCUGCCAGGAAACACAAGGAAUCACUCAUUCCUCAUCCCUGCAGACGCUGGCACAGUGCUGAAGGUGAUCUCCGUCCCCAAGGGCAGCCAGCCUAACGGGGAGGGGCUGCUCUUGGAGGAGCUGCACGUUUUUGAGGUGAGGCCUAGCCCCCUCCUCCUAGAGGAACCCUACCCCAUUGAUCUCUGAUCCCAGCGCUCGCUCCUCCUCCUCCUCCUCUCAGGAUUCAUCUGCUAUCACCAGCAUGCAAAUCUCUUCCAAGAGGGUAAGUGACCAAAAGGCUUGGGAGCAGAAGGGACCCAGUGUGUUCCCCGGGCACCCCUACCCCCACACCUCCCUUGGUAGUUUGAAGCACUGGGUUUGAGUAUAGGUUCUGCCUUUGCUAGACUGCGUGACCUGAGACCCUGAUCAGUGUCAAGUGGGGUGAGGGAUCCCUGACCAAUGGGAGGCGGGCACAGGGCUGCCUUCGGUCAGCCCGGAGCCCCUCGUGCCCCCUAGCACCAGCUGUACAUAGCUUCGCGGAGCGCGGUCGCCCAGAUCCCGUUGCACCUCUGUGCUGCCCACGGCCGCGCCUGUGCGGAAUGCUGCCUUGCGCGCGACCCUUACUGCGCCUGGGACGGGGCCGCGUGCACGCGCUUUCAGCCCAGCGCUAAAAGGUGGGCAGGGUUGGGGGCGGGCCACCUGGAAUCAUUUGCAGCACCUGGCUAAAUGAAGAAGGACUCACCGAGGCUCUAAUGUACCAAUGCAACCCCCACCCUGCAGGCGGUUCCGGCGGCAAGACGUGAGGAAUGGCGACCCCAGCACGCUGUGCUCCGGCGGUGAGUGCCCCCAGCUGCCCCACUUCUGGGCCUUUGAAGACGCCCCACCCUGCCCUGCCUGAAUCUGACAUUCCUUUGCCCUCCCCAGAUUCCUCUCAUCCCGCACUGCUGGAGCGGAAGGUGUUCGGUGUGGAGGGCGGAAGCGCCUUCCUGGAGUGUGAGCCCCGCUCGCUGCAGGCGCGCGUGGAAUGGACCUUCCAGCGCGCAGGGGAGGCGACCCACACCCAGGUGAGCCUCACGCCCUCCCUUCCCAAACAAGCCCUUGUCCCGCCCCCUACAUCCAGGAGAGCCCCGCCUUGCCAGUGUGGUUCCCACUUCUAGACUAGGUCCGACCCCGCCCAGUGAGACUCUGUCCAGCUAGACCCCUUACGUCCAGUUUGGUCCCUUACCUGAACUCCACGUUCUGGUGAGGCCCCAUUCCAUCUAACUAGACUCCUGACACCCCCCUCCCCCAUCCGAGAGGAGCCCCGCCCAUUGAGGCCCCCGCCCCGCCCCCAUGUUCAGGUAACCCCUCCCCCCCCCCACCUCCAGUCCAGUCCCGUCCGGUCUCGUCCGGUCCGGUAAGAGUUUCCGCUUUUAGACCACUGGUCCCAGUGCACCCAACCUUCAAAGGUACACCUGCGAGAGUCCCUUACCUGCUCAUGCUUGGCCACCGUUGACCCUCUACCUCUCCUGGCCCGACCUGGGAGCCGGGUUUCCUUGUUCCUGACACCGAUGCCUUUGCCUCCCACUGGCCCCGCCUGCAGGUAGCUAUGGAGGAGCGCGCGGAGCGCCUUACGGGGGGACUGCUGCUGCGCGGACUGAGGCGCGGGGAUUCUGGCGUGUACCUGUGCGCAGCUGUGGAGCAGGGCUUUUCGCAGUCGCUGCGUCGCCUGGUGCUACACGUGCUGAGUGCUGCGCAGGCCGAAAGGCUGGCCCGGACCGAGGAGGCUGUGCCCGUAGCCCCUCCAGGCCCCAGGCUCUGGUACCGGGACUUCCUGCAGCUGGUGGAGCCGGGCGGCGGUGGCGCGAGUUCCCUGCGAAUGUGUCGUCUGCAGCCUGAGUCGCGCCCACCGCCUCCCGAGUCACGGAGGAAGGGCCGAAACCGGCGAAGGCACGCCCCAGAGCCGCGUGCUGAGCGGGGGCCGCGCAGCGCAGCGCACUGGUGAUUCGGCAGUCCACGCCGGGUACAGGGAAGGAGGCUACAGGCAGGACAGGGGGAGGACAGACCGUGGAGGACGCACAGCUAGGGGGCCUGGCACAUUGGUCCCUGGUUGAUGGAGACACCGACCUACAGGCCCUGGCUGAGGGGCAGCCUCCCCGGCUUAUUUAUUAACAGAGGAUAACCCUUGAAUGUAGCCCUGGGAGGGACGGCCCAGGCGGGGCACAGGGGCCGGCUGGUCGGGAGGAGGGAGAUAAGCAAGGCUCCAGAGCAACGACCUGGGCAGAGGAGGUGCCCGGAGUGCCCACCCCGGGAUAAAGACCUCCUCCUUGGAGAAUGAGCAGAAAGCUGUGAACAGGCUGAACUGGUGGGGCGGGAGUGGGACAGGCCGACUGUACUAAUGCAAUAAACACAUUAUGAGCCGAAGCUGGAAUGGCCCCAGCUGACAA